AACGCACCUUGCGCCCAGGGGUAUUCCUCUGGGCAUGCCUGUCUGAGUGUCGCGCACCUCUCACCCUAUGCUCUAUAGGCGUGGACCGUGGCGGAGGCUGUCAGCCCUGCCGAAAUGUUUCGGGACUAGCGACCGACGUUGUAGACCCCUCGUCGGCCGUUCCCCACUUAUAACUUUUCGACCUCAGAUCAAGCAGGACUACCCGCUGAACUUAA
rnacentral:misc_RNA from 1 species